CGGGAGUCCUAUUUUCAAUAGUGGAGUUUUGUGUUCAGGAUUAUAAUUAACGUUAUUUUGCGAUAUAAAAUUAUACUAAUAUACAGUAUUUUUUAUUAAUUAUGUAUAAGGAAUAUAUGAAUAUCAUAACUAUAAGAUUUCAAGAAAAUAGAAGUGUGAAACAAGUUAAAACCAUCUUUGAACCAAACUGAAGGAUUUAAAAAUUGAUAAAGAUUGCAAAAAUUGAGAUUCUAAAUUGCCAUCAUUUAUUAUGGCUUCCAUUAUUGCAUACAUAUGAAUAAAUGAGGCUAUCGCUUCUUCAGUGGGGGCAGAAAGGCCCCCUCUUUCAACAGAAUGGGACCCAUAACCAGAAAUAUAAAUUUUAAUGGAAUCAUCUACAACACAAUCGGACAAGUAUUCGGUAUCGAAGAUUCCUGAGAAACAAGUCACAUCAGUAGGAAGAUCAUGAAGAUCGUUAUUAUUGUCAUC